AUUUCUAUAGCUUAAAAUAAAAGAGAGCAUAGUAUUGAAGAUACUAGGGUAACAGGAUUUGUUUAGGAAUA
rnacentral:tRNA from 1 species